UAUAUAUAUAUAUAUAUAUAUAUAUUUAUAUAUUAUUGAACGCUAUUUUGUCUUGUUUCCAAUAGUCAAAAAGCUAAACUUUUGAGCAUAAACUCAACUGAAUUUAGCUAGCUUCAUCCUUAAAGCAAAAUAACUAAUAAUAAAAAAUAAUUCAUUCAUUAAAUUAAAUAUAAGCAAGCACACAAGCAAGCCAAUGGGUAAAAAAAUAAGUUUUUAUGGAUUACAUGAUUACACAUUAUUCACUGUAAUGUAAUGUUUAAUGCAUUUCAUGAUGUUGAUAAGAAAGAAUGGAAUAUAUUUUCUUUCUCUUUGUUUCUGUUGUGGCUAUAUAUCAGUAUAGUACACAAUAGUCCCAUUAAAGUCUAUGUGAAAAGAAGUUAGAUCAAAAGCAAUCUAAAAGUAAUUCAAAAAGUAGUCAGACUAAUUUAAAUAAUAUAUGUCAUGUGGAUUAUGCCACUAACUACAAUAUUUCCCAUGUAAUUUGUAAUCACUAAUUUACUACAAUUUCUAAGUAAUCUACCCAGCUCUGACCUCAAGAAAAAAUAACUUUCCUUUUUUUUUAAGGAUGAUUUCAUAUUUUUGCUGGAAACCAAGACAAAAGCAAUUAUGACAUAAAAUUUUGCUCUGCUAAUAUGAAAAGCACACUUUAAUUGAUAUUUGUGGUAAACAUUUUGUUUAUAAGAAUGAUCAUUUCCAGGCCCAGGCACUUACAAGUCAAGAAUCACAUAUAUUAUUGUUGUUUUUAUGCCUGAAGCACAAAUGAUUGUGAGUUAUUGUUGUGUUGCAGUGUCUCUCAAAUUGAGCAUACUUUAUGAACAGCAACACCGUCAUCAGCGGUUAAAUAAUUCAUGCCUGGGAUUUUAACUUUUGUAUUCAUGAGGGACAGUCGGUUUUGAAAAAAAAAGUGUGCUAUUUUAACAAUGUCCAUCUGUAUAUUACUCAAAUGUGCACAAAGAGUCAGACUUUUUUAUAUGAACUCUGAUGAAAAUUGAGAUGACAUGUAGUAACACAAGCUCCACUACACUUCUCAGAUCAGUGUUUGUCAAAGAGAAUCGGUUUGCCGUGAAUGUUCUUUAUGCAUUGUAAAUAGCUGUAUUGUUGGACAAUUUCAGACCUGUAGCGAAUGCCAUGAGGAUGAAGUGCUGAAAUGAGACGGGCAAAAUAAGCCCUUUCUGAGCCUUUGCACAGAGGAAGAAAAGUCUCCUGCUGAAGACAAAGAUGGCAGUGUUAUGGAGAGUCCAUUUUCUGUCCCUAAAGCGGUUUCCACAAUGAACAUCCGUAUCUUUUUGGGAUUAGGAACUAGUCUUCUGAACAUUGUUGGACUGGAAAACUUUAAAACCUAAAAGCUUCUCUCAUUCUCAAGUGUGAUUUAUUGAACUGAUGACAGUACAAAGUUGUAUUGUGACAAAAAAAAAGAACUGUGAAAAAAAGAAUGAACUGUUAAUGGUUUCAUCUCGCUGUACAAAGUGAAUCAGAUAUUGCUAAUUUACUUACUGAUUUAUAUUGAUUUGUGGUCUCUCUCUCUCUCUCCUCACCUCUGUAUCUUUAUCUCUUGUGCACAAAUGUUGGCUGUGAGUUCUUGGUACCCUUUAAAACAGCCUUUGCAUUAUGAGUAGCGGUGUCUGACUCAGAGCCCCUGCUGACUCACACAUGUAGGCUGGUCGCACUGACGCUGGCAUGGAGUAUGAUAUCUCCUCUAUGCAUUAUGGACUCAAAUGCAAAAUGACCCACAUUCCUAUUGUGCUGAGGAACUCGAGGGUGUAUAGAACUGUUCAUUGCAACGUUAAUUGCCAAAACAUUGUUAUUUGCCAAAUAAUUUACUGUAGAUGUCUGUUAGUAAAAUAAAGAGCUGAGAAUAAAAAUAUGUUCACAGAA